GUCUUGGUACUACAUGUACAGGAUAGGUGGGAGGCUUUGAAACCAGGACGCCAGUUUUGGCGGAGCCAUCCUUGGGAUACCACCCUUGUAGUACUGGGACUCUAACCAUAGGCCAUGAAUCUGGUCUGGGGACACUGUCAGGUGGGCAGGUUGACUGGGGCGGUCGCCUCCCAAAAGGUAACGGAGGCGCUCAAAGGUUCUCUCAGUACGGUCGGAAAUCGUACGUAGAGUGUAAAGGCAAAAGAGAGCUUGAUUGCAAGACAGACAGGUCGAGCAAGGAUGAAAAUCGGACUUAGUGAUCCGGUGGUUCUGCGGGGAAGGGCCAUCGCUCAA
rnacentral:rRNA from 1 species